rnacentral:rRNA from 1 species
CAGCASUGAGGAAUAUUGGGCAAUGGAGGCAACUCUGACCCAGCCAUGCCGCGUGCAGGAAGACUGCCCUAUGGGUUGUAAACUGCUUUUAUACAGGAAGAAACUUAUCCACGUGUGGAUAACUGACGGUACUGUAAGAAUAAGGACCGGCUAACUCCGUGCCAGCAGCCGCGGUAAUACGGAGGGDCCAAGCGUUAUCCGGAAUCAUUGGGUUUAAAGGGUCCGUAGCGGGCAAUUAAGYCAGAGGUGAAAUCCCACAGCUCAACUGUGGAACUGCCUUUGAUACUGGUUGUCUUGAGUUACAGUGAAGUAGAUAGAAUAUGUAGUGUACGGUGAAAUGCAUAGAUAUUACAUAGAAUACCGAUUGCCGAAGGCAGUCUACUAACUGUAUACUGACGCUAAUGGACGAAAGCGUGGGGAGCCGAACAGGAUUAGAUACCCUGGUAGUCCACGCCGUAAACGAUGGUCACUAGUUGUUGGGGUCUUGUACCUCAGUGAUUAACGAGAAAUUGAUAAGUGACCCACCUGGGGAGUACGAUCGCAAGAUUGAAACUCAAAUG